rnacentral:rRNA from 1 species
UACGAAGGGGGCAAGCGUUGUUCGGAAUUACUGGGCGUAAAGGGCGCGUAGGCGGCCGAUCAAGUCAGGCGUGAAAUUCCCGGGCUCAACCUGGGGGCUGCGCUUGAUACUGAUUGGCUUGAAUGCGGGAGAGGAUAGUGGAAUUCCCAGUGUAGAGGUGAAAUUCGUAGAUAUUAGGAAGAACACCGGUGGCGAAGGCGGCCACUGGCCCGAUACUGACGCUGAGCACGAAAGCGUGGGGAGGC